rnacentral:tRNA from 1 species
GCCAGCGUGGCUCAGUGGUUGAGCGUGGACCUGUGAACCAGGAGGUCACGGGUUCGAUUCCCGGUCAAGGGCA